UAUCUCUGUAGAGUCUGCAUAUCAAUAAGCGGAGGAAAAGAAACUAACAAGGAUUCCCCUAGUAACGGCGAGUGAAGCGGGAAGAGCUCAAAUUUGAAAUCUUCAAGGUUCUACCUUGACGAAUUGUAGUUUAAAGAAGUGUUUUCGGCUAGAGGAGUAGCUAAAAGUUCCUUGGAAUAGGGACAUCAUAGAGGGUGAGAAUCCCGUAUUUGGAUUAUUCAUUCUAGCUUUGUGAUACACUUUCAAAGAGUCGGAUUGUUUGGGAAUGCAGUCCAAAAUGGGUGGUAAAUUUCAUCUAAAGCUAAAUAUUGGCGAGAGACCGAUAGCGAACAAGUACCGUGAGGGAAAGAUGAAAAGAACUUUGAAAAGAGAGUUAAACAGUACGUGAAAUUGUCAAAAGGGAAGCGUUUGACACCAGUGUUGUUUUUCCGAAAAUCAAUUAAAAAUUGAUUCAUGCCAGGUUGUAUGACCUUAUCAGCUUGCAAUUUGGUUUUGGGUCUCUUUUUGAUGCACUUUUCGGUUAACAAGUCAACAUCAAUUUCCUUUGCUGUAAAAAGGUAAGAGGAAGGUGGCUUCAAUUUCGGUUGAAGUGUUUAUAGCCUUUUAUCUCUGCAGUCGGGGAGAUUGAGGUCUGCAGCGUAGAUCCUUCGGGGCUAGAUACAUUUAUGCUAGGUUAUAGCUUUUCAUAGACAACUUGUUGACUAUGUUUAGUCAUGUAGCUUACUCGUAAGUGCUAUUUUACCUACGCUUAGGAUGUUGAGCGCAUGUCUCUCUCU
rnacentral:rRNA from 1 species